GAUGAAGAACGUAGCGAAAUGCGAUAAGUAAUGCGAAUUGCAGAAUUUCCGUGAGUCAUCGAAUCUUUGAACGCACAUUGCGCCCACUGGUAUUCCGGUGGGCAUGCCUGUUCGAGCGUCAUUAUCCUCCCUCAAACCUCGGGUUUGGUGUUGGACCCAAGUUGUGUGAACAACUGGUCUUAAAGACAAUGACGGCGUCCGUGGGACCCUCGGUGCAACGAGCUUUUAGGAGCACGCGUCGAGUUUCAAGGACCUUCCGGGCCGGUCUCCUUUACCAUUUUACAAGAUUGACCUCGGAUCAGGUAGGAAUACCCGCUGAACUUAAGCAUAUCAAUAAGCGGAGGA
rnacentral:misc_RNA from 1 species